GGCCCGUUGGAGAAGCGGCUUAACUCACCAGCCUUUCACGCUGGCAGUUUCAGGGGUUCGAAUCCCCUACGGGUCACCA
rnacentral:tRNA from 2 species